AGUCGAACGGAAAGGCCCUGCUUGCAGGAUACUCGAGUGGCGAACGGGUGAGUAACACGUGGGUGAUCUGCCCUGCACUUCGGGAUAAGCUUGGGAAACUGGGUCUAAUACCGGAUAGGACCGCACUUUAGUGUGUGUGGUGGAAAGUUUUUUCGGUGUAGGAUGAGCUCGCGGCCUAUCAGCUUGUUGGUGGGGUAAUGGCCUACCAAGGCGGCGACGGGUAGCCGGCCUGAGAGGGUGUACGGCCACAUUGGGACUGAGAUACGGCCCAGACUCCUACGGGAGGCAGCAGUGGGGAAUAUUGCACAAUGGGCGCGAGCCUGAUGCAGCGACGCCGCGUGGGGGAUGAAGGCUCUCGGGUUGUAAACUCCUUUCGCUAGGGACGAAGCUUUUUGUGACGGUACCUAGAUAAGAAGCACCGGCUUACUACGUGCCAGCAGCCGCGGUAAUACGUAGGGUGCGAGCGUUGUCCGGAAUUACUGGGCGUAAAGGGCUCGUAGGUGGUUUGUCGCGUCGUCUGUGAAAUUCUGGGGCUUAACUCCGGGCGUGCAGGCGAUACGGGCAUAACUUGAGUGCUGUAGGGGUAACUGGAAUUCCUGGUGUAGCGGUGAAAUGCGCAGAUAUCAGGAGGAACACCGAUGGCGAAGGCAGGUUACUGGGCAGUUACUGACGCUGAGGAGCGAAAGC
rnacentral:rRNA from 1 species